UUUGUAGUCAGCGGGCGCGCACUGUAGUUCCAUCUCAUCUGCGCAAACAUGGCUGAUGAAACGGAAAAGGCGCAGACUGCCCAGCCGGGCGGAGACACAAUAUUUGGAAAAAUCAUACGCAAAGAGAUUCCUGUCAAAUUAAUCUAUGAGGACGAUCAGUGUGUUGCCUUCCCUGAUAUUUCUCCUCAAGCUCCCACUCACAUCCUCGUCGUCCCCAAAAAGCCAAUAGUUCAGCUGUCACAAGCAGAGGAUAGUGAUGCUGGAUUGUUGGGCCACUUGAUGAUAGUCGCAAAAAAGUGUGCUCAAGAGGCGGGUCUAUCUAAUGGCUACAGGAUUGUCAUCAAUGAUGGACGAGAUGGAGGCCAGUCUGUCUACCACAUCCACGUCCACGUGCUGGGUGGACGCACUAUGGUGUGGCCCCCUGGCUAACCUCUGUCUCCCGGCACAUACCAUCCUGCCAUCGGUGUGCCAGUACAGUUAAAUUUAGACUGAAACAGGUCGUCAAGUCAAAGAAAACCUGGGAAAUCACAAAUGGUCCGUCUCCUCAGGGCUCGGGGUUCCAGGCUGUCAGGAGCAUGGGGGCGGAGCUCCACUGGCUUACCAUUGAUCUCUGGUGCCUUAUUGGUUGAUAUCACAGGCGGGAUCUUCUUGAAGUUAAGGCUCUCAUCAAACACCCGAUCCACCAACUGGGCACAAAACAGGAGAACUGUAGUCUACAGAACUUUCUAUCCAGAGUCAUUGUUGCAUUCUAUAAUAGAGUUAAGUAAGCAUUAGUGAGAAAUAAGGGAAUUAGCAACUCUGUCAGCUCUAAAAAAGUCAGAUUUUAAUAAUAAAACAAGAAUGAAGAGCAGAAGGGGGUGAAAUAAAUGAAUACCUCUCACAGCAGAUGAAAGCAUAGAGAGGCAGUUUUAUCGAAGCAACACAGGAGGGAUGGCAAAGUGGCAGUGGAAGCACACACAGUAAGGCAAUGACAGAAGAAGAAAAACGGGCACCUUGCUCAUGCUCUCCUGUAUGUCCGGCUGCGUUGAACGUGCAGGGCCUACCUCUUCCCGGGUGUCGAUAGCUGAUCCCGGGGUGGUGGCGGCAGUGCUGACGGUGGUGCUGGGUGCUGUGCCGGAUGAGCUGACUGAGUCGAUCUCGCCGGCCACGUCGUGGAUCUCACGGGCCAAGAUGGCCAAAUCCUUAGCCAGGUCCUGGCUGAUCCUGCGCACACAGGGGAAUAACCUGUUAACCAUCAGACAGGGUUCUUUAGGACUCAGGAGAAACAUCUGGUUGAACACAACCUGCAUACACAAGCAAUAUUCAUACACACAACAAGAUAAAAGUGAAACCAUUAAGGAUGGCUCCUCAAAAUGACAACAUCAUACAACACAUUAUGGAGAUCAAUGAGAGAUGAAGUUGUACAGAUCAAUACCUGGCUAUCUCCUCGCUGUGUGCUGUCCAGUCCCUGAUGUACUCCUCUUGCUCUUUCAUGCGAUGUUUGAUCCCCACUCCACCUGGACCUGUGGCCGCGGCAGAGCCUGGACUCGGGGUUGUGCUGAGCCUUGAGCUGCGGUGUGGGACGAGGUGAUGAGGCCGCACAUGGGAGCGUCCUCCGUGCUUCGGCGAGUUCCGGUUGGAGCCAAAUUCUUCUUCUGAGGUGGAGCCAUACUCUUGUGGCAGACGUCUCCACCUGCUGCUGCUGGACACUGUGAUGGUAGGUGGCUGUCUCUGCUCCCGAUCCCUCUGGGUCAGUCCUGGUGUGAUUGGCAGCAAGACUGGCCCACUGAGAGACCCAGCUCGAAUCACCAGCAAGAGCCUGUGGGGGCAACAGUGAUGGAAACAGGAGUGAGAAAAAGAGUGAUAAAGAAUAACAGAAAUUGCCUCGGGGGGUGGUGUCUCUCCUCAUCUUCACAUGAUCUAGGUCUGACAGAACAGAGGAGUCUUGGUUCUGCUGAACACCGAACACCUUCAAAUAGAGACAAACAUCUGACCAAGUGGCUAACGUAUAAUGAAUGCUAAUCUAAAGGCAUCAUCUAUGCAUGUACUACGCACCCCUUACACUAUUACUCUGGAUGAACAAAAGUGAGCUGAACAGCUAGAAGAAGAUGCAGUCGAAUUCAAGCACGAAUCUGCCCUCGAUAG